AGAGUUUGAUCAUGGCUCAGGACGAACGCUGGCGGCGUGCCUAAUACAUGCAAGUCGAACGAACUCUGGUAUUGAUUGGUGCUUGCAUCAUGAUUUACAUUUGAGUGAGUGGCGAACUGGUGAGUAACACGUGGGAAACCUGCCCAGAAGCGGGGGAUAACACCUGGAAACAGAUGCUAAUACCGCAUAACAACUUGGACCGCAUGGUCCGAGCUUGAAAGAUGGCUUCGGCUAUCACUUUUGGAUGGUCCCGCGGCGUAUUAGCUAGAUGGUGGGGUAACGGCUCACCAUGGCAAUGAUACGUAGCCGACCUGAGAGGGUAAUCGGCCACAUUGGGACUGAGACACGGCCCAAACUCCUACGGGAGGCAGCAGUAGGGAAUCUUCCACAAUGGACGAGAGUCUGAUGGAGCAACGCCGCGUGAGUGAAGAAGGGUUUCGGCUCGUAAAACUCUGUUGUUAAAGAAGAACAUAUCUGAGAGUAACUGUUCAGGUAUUGACGGUAUUUAACCAGAAAGCCACGGCUAACUACGUGCCAGCAGCCGCGGUAAUACGUAGGUGGCAAGCGUUGUCCGGAUUUAUUGGGCGUAAAGCGAGCGCAGGCGGUUUUUUAAGUCUGAUGUGAAAGCCUUCGGCUCAACCGAAGAAGUGCAUCGGAAACUGGGAAACUUGAGUGCAGAAGAGGACAGUGGAACUCCAUGUGUAGCGGUGAAAUGCGUAGAUAUAUGGAAGAACACCAGUGGCGAAGGCGGCUGUCUGGUCUGUAACUGACGCUGAGGCUCGAAAGUAUGGGUAGCAAACAGGAUUAGAUACCCUGGUAGUCC
rnacentral:rRNA from 1 species